UACAUAUAUUCACACUCUUUCCACUCCUCUCUGGAUAUUUACACACAAAAUACAUACAGAAGCUGAAAUCAAAAGAAAAAUUCUUAGAAUUCAAGUCUCAAACAAAAACAGAUUUGAAAACAAAAAAAAGGGAACGAAGAAGUUUUUUAAAAUCUGGGUUUCGAAAAGGCUUUAGGAGUGCCAUUGCUGCUGUUCUUUGCUUGGUUGCUGUUGUUUCCUGAAUCUGCUGAGCUUUAUUCUUCAAUUUUUGCCUUUAUUUGGCCAUUGCGAGCUUUGUGCUCAAGCUUAGAUCUAUGGAAAUUGGGUUCAAGUUUGUCCAUGUCAGUCUGUCUGUUUUCGUUUUGGACAUUGAUGUUGAAAGCUGAAAGAGGAACGCCAUACCUGUAGAACCAAAAGCAUGAAGAGAUAUAGAUUAAUUAAUUGCAGUCUAUUUGCUAUUACAUUGUUUAAUUCCAGAAUUAUAGGAUGUUAGUUCCCAGAAGCAUUUAUCAUCACAAAUUCAAGACCACGAUUUCUAAUGUAAUGAUUUGGCGUUGUAACUUUAAAUCUGGAUGAACGUGUACUCAUGCUUA